rnacentral:rRNA from 1 species
AUUUUAAAAAUUGAUCUUGCUAAAACUUUUGACCGUCUUGAAUGGGAUUUCAUUGUCUCAUCUUUAACACGUAAAGGUCUACAUGGCCAUUUUAUCAAUCUCAUCUAUGCUUGCAUUUCAACACCAGUGCUCUCUGUUAUUAUAAAUAGCCAACAAUAUUCGUAUAUGAGCACCAGAGGUACAAUACAAGGAUGUCCUCUCUCCCCAUAUCUUUUUGUCCUGGCCAUUAAUGAGUUGUAUGUCUUCUUACAAGAAGCAAUGAGGGAAAACCUAUGAGGUAUCUCUCUUGGUCCAAAUUGUCCGUCUAUCCACUCUCUCAUGUUUGCUGAUGAUCUUUUAGUUUGUGGGCAAGCUACUACUCGAGAAGCCAAUUCUAUGUGCCAACUGUCAAACCUUUUAUACAAAUUCUGGCCAAAUUCCAAAUUGGACCAAAUCUAG